rnacentral:tRNA from 1 species
UAGAGCGUUGGACUUCUAUCCAAAGGUUGCGGGUUCAAGUCCCGCCCAGAGUA